UCUAACAAUUAGAAGACUAUGGCAGACCAGCAAAAGUGAAUCUGUGUGUCCUUAUGAAACGUGAUCUGGUGUUAAGUCACUGUCUCACCACUACAGUGUCGCACGUCAGCAAUAAUGUCACCAAAUGAAGCUGCCUUAUUUGCAAUCCUGAGAAUAAAGGACAUCUAACAUCCCAAAGGCUUCCCAGAGUAGUACCUGACAUUUGGCUGUGGGUCUCUGCAUCUGUUUCCAUCAGCUGCUAGGUGAAGCCUCUCACAUGACAGUUAUGCUCGGCUCUUGUCUGUAAGUAUAGCAGAAUAUCACUAAUAGUAUCAGGACUGGGCUCUCUCUCAUGGCAUAGGUCUCAAGUUGGGCCAAUCAUUGGUUG
rnacentral:lncRNA from 1 species